UUGCAUUAAGUAAGACCUUUUGCCACACCUAUGGAUAGUUGAGGCAAAAAGUUACUCUUUUGCCUCAUGCCAAUUUUAACUGUUGCAAUAAAUCAAAAUUUUACCACAUCGAUGUGGCAAUAUCUGAAAAUAAUAUAAUUAAUAAAAUGGUGAAAAUAACUAAAUGAAUGUAUAUCGAGUUUUUUUAAAAACGAAAAAUAUUGAAAAUGCCCCAAAAUUUGCCCACGCACCCAAAUUUUUCGCAUCUCCUCAUAAAUCUCUUAGAACCCCAGGAAACUGCUCUCAUCUUCUUCAAGAAAUGAUCUUCUUCCAACUUAAACAAAGACUCGUUUACUCGAAGCUAUACAUUCUUGAAUCACACAAAGAAAAGACUCAAAAUCUCUAAUUUUCUCACUCAGAAAUCAAAGAGAUCUAGACAACACUUCGGAUUAAUUUGGGGUUUUUUUUGUUUUCGUCGCUCUCCAAAGACCAUAGCAGGUACUUUUCUUUCUGAUGGUGCAAUUUGAAUCAGAGUUUCUUGUGACUGGUCUUUCAGCUUAUAAAGGAAACUUUUCUGUUUUAUACACAAUGCAAAAUCAACACAAGGGGGAGCAAGCAGGAAAGAAGGACUAUGAAUGGACAGUUGUGAUGAGAUUUAGAAUGGAAUAGGUCUAGUUUGAAGUAUGAAGUGAUGUUUUUCUUUUCCUUGGUGCUGUUUGUUUAAUUUGAUUAGCAGGAAAGCUGGGACUAGGAAUCGACGGUUGGGAAGAGAUUUAGAAUGGAAUUUUGAAGUAUGAAAAGUUUUUAAGAUUUUGAGUGAGGUUUUAAAUUCGGAAAUUGUGUAGAUUAAUUAAUUGAUUUUUUUCAUCGGGUAAAGAUGGAUUCACAUACUCUGCAACAUGUACUUUGACUUUGUAAUGAAAUUCGAAUUUUAUGUUUUAA